UUGUCAUCAGUGGAUUGUAUUUCUAUGAUUAACUAUUGAACUUCUGUCUCAGUUUCAAAUGAAAACAAAUUACUCACGGAGAAUGAAUACAGAUCAUUAUGAAUGUUCACACUCCCCGAGUGUUCUUUUCUUAAGGACUUCUUUUUUCAUGACUGAUAUAUCGAUACUGGAUCAAAGGGCAUUACAGCCUCUUCGGGCAUUAAUAUGUACUCUGUGAGUUUUAUGGUAACACUGAUAGCUGUUAUUCGCUUUAUUUCAUGGGUCAGGCUGUCGAAAGCGCAAUGACCCAGGGCAUGGUGAUUUUAAUAAUGACCAACAGUGGUCAAUGCCGUCGCAUGGAUACGCCUUUAGUAUCUGAUGUCUUUUUAUCAUUAGCCAGU
rnacentral:sRNA from 1 species